CGGGUCUAGUGGCGCACGGGUGCGUAACGCGUGGGAACCUGCCCUUAGGUUCGGAAUAACAGUUAGAAAUGACUGCUAAUACCGGAUAAUGUCUUCGGACCAAAGAUUUAUCGCCUUUGGAUGGGCCCGCGUAGGAUUAGGUAGUUGGUGGGGUAAUGGCCUACCAAGCCGACGAUCCUUAGCUGGUCUGAGAGGACGAUCAGCCACACUGGAACUGAGACACGGUCCAGACUCC
rnacentral:rRNA from 1 species